GGGACAACGUUCCGAAAGGGGCGCUAAUACCGCAUACGUCCUACGGGAGAAAGCAGGGGACCUUCGGGCCUUGCGCUAAUAGAUGAGCCUAAGUCGGAUUAGCUAGUUGGUAGGGUAAAGGCCUACCAAGGCGACGAUCUGUAGCGGGUCUGAGAGGAUGAUCCGCCACACUGGGACUGAGACACGGCCCAG
rnacentral:rRNA from 1 species